CCCUUUGGCUUUACCCACAGGGCACUGUGAAGGCAGACAGGGGGUUGAGCCUCUGGGAGACCUGAAGUGUGAAGGCUGCAGCUGCCAGUGAUGGUGUGGUGAGAGCAGCUGUCUGUUUUGCUCCACUAUGCUUGCACUCUAGCAAAUAAUGGGCACUGUGAAGGCAGAGACAGGGGGUUGAGCCUCUGGGAGACCUGAAGUGUGAAGGCUGCAGCUGACAGUGAUGGUGUGGUGAGGGCAGUUGUCUGUUUUGCUCUACCAUGUAUGCCCUCUGACAGUGAAGAAUGGCUGAGAUUUGUCAGAAGUUGUCCUGGGCUCUGCUGGGGUUUCAGUGUUUUGCUAAUGAAGACGGAUGCUUCUGCUGCUCCUGUGCUGCUGCCUCAGAUCCUUGUCCAAGCCACAGCAUUCAUGUCACCCUGUGACAGCUCUGGCCUUUCCUCAGAGCUGGCAGGAGUGAUGAGUUGGUGUCCUGCCAACUUAGAUGGAGGGUGUCACAUUUUUUAUCCCCUGGGUAUGAGGCAUGUAACUGGAAUGGAUUCUGGAACUUGCUGCAUGUUUAAUGCAGUUUGGAUGCUUUUGUCUGCAGGGGCUGCAUUCCCUGGCUAACAGCUCAUGUUAUCCUGCCCCUGUCAUUACAAGCAAGGAAGGCUCUCCUUGGAGCAAUGACAAGUACAGGAGGGCCUUGUGUGUAAGGAGAGGAGUCAGGGCUUGGCUCUCCCCUGCCAUCCAGAAAGCUUUAGUGGUUCAUCUCUGACAGCUUGUGAAGUGGGGAAGGGGUAUCUGGGAUGCUGCGGCACAGUGUGGUUUUGUACUGUAUAGAGUCUGUUUAAUAAAAUCUGAGUACUGGGUGAACUCA